rnacentral:piRNA from 1 species
UUCAAAUUUCUAAAUGGCCUGUAUGUA